CCUACGGGUGGCAGCAGUGAGGAAUAUUGGUCAAUGGGCGAGAGCCUGAACCAGCCAAGUAGCGUGCGGGAUGAAUGCCCUAUGGGUUGUAAACUUCUUUUAUAAGGGAAUAAAACGAGGCACGUGUGCAUUUUUGCAUGUACUUUAUGAAUAAGGAUCGGCUAAAUCCGUGCCAGCAGCCGCGGUAAUACGGAGGAUCCGAGCGUUAUCCGGAUUUAUUGGGGUUAAAGGGAGCGUAGAUGGGUUGUUAAGUCAAUUGUGAAAGUUUGCCGCUCAACCGGAAAAUUGCAAUUGAUACUGGCAGUCUUGAGUACAGUAGAGGGAGGCGGAAUUCGUGGUGUAGCGGUGAAAUGCGUAGAUAUCACGAGGAACCCCGAUUGCGAAGGCAGCUUACUAAACUGUGACUGACAUUGAGGCUCGAAAGUGUGGGUAUCAAACAGGAUUAGAUACCCUGGUAGUC
rnacentral:rRNA from 1 species